GACUCCUACGGGAGGCAGCAGUGGGGAAUAUUGGACAAUGGGGGCAACCCUGAUCCAGCAAUUCUGUGUGCACGAAGAAGGUUUUCGGAUCGUAAAGUGCUUUCAGCAGGGAGGAAGGAAGUGACUGUACCUGCAGAAGAAGCGACGGCUAAAUACGUGCCAGCAGCCGCGGUAAUACGUAUGUCGCGAGCGUUAUCCGG
rnacentral:rRNA from 1 species